CCUACGGGAGGCUGCAGUGGGGAAUAUUGGACAAUGGGGGGAACCCUGAUCCAGCCAUGCCGCGUGUGUGAAGAAGGCCCUCGGGUUGUAAAGCACUUUCAGUGAGGAAGAACGCCUGGUGGUUAAUACCCAUCAGGAAAGACAUCACUCACAGAAGAAGCACCGGCUAACUCCGUGCCAGCAGCCGCGGUAAUACGGAGGGUGCGAGCGUUAAUCGGAAUUACUGGGCGUAAAGCGCGCGUAGGUGGCUUGAUAAGCCGGUUGUGAAAGCCCCGGGCUCAACCUGGGAACGGCAUCCGGAACUGUCAAGCUAGAGUGCAGGAGAGGAAGGUAGAAUUCCCGGUGUAGCGGUGAAAUGGGUAGAGAUCGGGAGGAAUACCAGUGGCGAAGGCGGCCUUCUGGACUGACACUGACACUGAGGUGCGAAAGCGUGGGUAGCAAACAGGAUUAGAUACCCCUGUAGUC
rnacentral:rRNA from 1 species